rnacentral:lncRNA from 10 species
CGUAUCCAGCCACGGCCGGGAGCCCAGGAGUAUCCCGAGGCUGCACGGGGUAGGGGUGGGGGGCGGAGGGCGAGUCUUGGUCUUGAGCUGCUGGGGCGCGGAUUCUCUUUCAAAGCCAGAACCAGGCCUGUCCCGGACCCGCGUCCCGGGGAGGCUGCAGCGCAGAGCAGCGGGGCUGGGGCCGGUGGGGGGCCGUUUGGGACGCGCGGAGAGGUCCUGAGCGCGGUGGCUCUGCGUCUCCUAGCUCUGAUCUCCAGGCUACCCCUGUGAUUCCGCGCAGAGGUACCUCUCGGAGGACGCCGGGGUCCCAUGGGCGGCGCCGCGCAGGGCGCUAGGACCCCGCGGGGAGCGGAGGCGGCCUCGGCCCGGGAGCCUGGAGGACCUGGCCGGUCGAUCCGCCCGGGCUGGAAAACUUUCUUUAUAAUUACUUCUCCAGGUCGGAGCGCGCGGCUUGCUAGGCGCGCGGGGCCGGCGCUGUUACCCGGCGUGGAGUCGCCGAUUUUUUUUCCUGCGGGACCGCGGGGCCCCCCAGACUAGCGGAGCUGGACGCCGGGGCGAGCACGGGGAGGGGCGCACCGAGGGAGGAGACAAACUUAACUCUGGGGCCGGGAUUCCGAGGCGGGGGCCGCAGCCCUCGAGGCCCGAAGCCACCGCUUCCUCCCCCGCCUCCCCAUUCAGGAACAAAGAAACGCCACUGUACAUGCACGGUUCCCGGCCUGUGGAGUUGUGGGAGGAAGGCGAUGUCUGGCCUUUUUUGCACAGCUGCUGUUGCCUGCCCAGAGAUCGGGAACUCUGCCCCGUAGGACUGGAAGAAACCUCAGUAAUGGGAAUAAGACUUUGUCCAAUAGGGGGCUGAUGAAUGUGUGGGGGCGACAAUGGCAAGGAGUGGGACUCCCGGCCCGGGGUUCGCCAACCCCAGGGGCCACAGGUCCUCCUACAAUUGAACCAGAAUUCACCCACCCGGGCCUGCCCUGUGCAGGGUGCCGAGAGCCCAGGGAUGCAUGAGAGGGUGGCUCCUGCCUCUGGGAACUGGGACAGUGGGAGAGACGGAUAAGUUGUCACACAGAGGCUGCUGGGAGGAAGGAGGAGACAGAAGGAGUAGGGGAUGGGACUUCAUUCAUUCAUCAAAUGCACACGAGGCACAAAUGGGAAUCAAGGGUGGAUGUGCUGUGAUGAAGAGAAGUCCUGCCCUGAACAAGGUGGCGCUGUGGAGGAGGCAGAGAUCAGAUUUGUCUGCGGAGGUGUUAUGGACUGAACUGUGUCCCUGCCCCAAAUUCCUAUGUUGAAGGCCUAACCCCCAUGUGACUGUAUUUGGAGAUAAGGCUUUUAGGAAGUCAUUAAAGUGAGAUGAUGUCAUAUGGGUAGGGUCCUAAUUUGAUAGGAUUGGUGGCCUUAUCAGAAGAACAAUGUCAUGGGCAUGCACAGAAAGGAGGUGGCCGUCUGCAAGCAGGGAAGAGGCCCCUCACCAGAACCUGAGGGUGCUGGCAGCUUGGCUUUGGCCUUGGGCAUCCAGCCUCCAGAACCAUGAGAAAUAAAUGUUUAUGGUAGGUCUAUGAUGGCAGCCUGCUUGGACUGAACCGGCGGUGAGACAGGGCUUCAUGCAGGAGCAGACCUUUGAGCUGGGCCUUGAAAGUUGAGCAGGAAUUUGCUGGAAGGAUAAGGGAGGAAGGCUCUUCUAGGAGGAGGGAAUGGUAAGUGCAAAGGUGGAGAGCCUGCCAGUGCAUGUGUUCUGGUAACAAAGAACGAGAUGGUUGGCCGGCUGGAGAGUGGGGUGAGGGAGGGUGGGGCCUAGAUAAGGCUGGAUCCGCAGACAGGGCUGGGCUGAUGGCCAAGGCCACUGCAGGUGAAGGGGGAACCCUUAUCUCCCAGGCUUUUGACCUCCAGAUUUUAGCAGGGGAGCUUCGUUGUCGGAUUUGGGUUCCUGAGAAUCUACUCUGGCCAAGACGGAGAGGGGGUGUUGACCAGAUGGGAAAGGAUGGAGACUUGUAUUGCCCCAGUAAUGAGCGGGCAGGGUAGAUUAGAACAAGAUGUCAGGACUUGGGGGCUGAAUGCCAGGCUUCUGGCUGGGAUUACCACCCCCUGACACAUAUAAUGCCCAGGAAAUUGGAGGCCCCUCUCCAAGCCCCCAGGAGGCCACUGGGGACUCAUUCCAGGAUACUCACCUGCCUGCUUUGUGGUUUUGGAGGGGAAGACCUUGGAGCAGUUGCGAAGAUCCAUCUACCAUGUUCUGGUUUUUCCUUGGAAGCCUAAAAGUGUACCUCGGGAUGAGGAGGAAAUGGUUUUGAGGGCAAGUGGUAGGUCUCUGGCUAGGCCUGGCGGGGUUCUCAGAGGACAGGGGGUGUCUAGGGCCCUAGAUAGAAGUGUCCUGCCCAAGCCCUAAAGCAGGAAAUUAGCUGGGGAGUUGGGGUGAGACCCUGGGGUCGAUGGAGGCACUUUCCAUGGGAGAGUCCCACAGGGUAAGGGAGAGGGGGCUGAUGUCUGACAGUCUCAUAGACAGUUGGCUUGUGGCUGGAGAAGUGGGAGCAAAGGAGAAAUCACCUUUGAUUGGGAGAAGUGGCUCUGGCUCAUGUGCAACUGAGACAAAGCCAGUCCUAAGAGCAGCUUGUAAAUUCUUCUGUGACCACCUUUAAGGUCCUUCUUCCUGAGGCUGUGGAUGGGGGUGUACACAGGCCCAGUGUGGGGGGUUGAGCGUGAGUCCCCGGGAAACGGUGGUCCUGAGUUUUGGAUGCUCCAGGAUGAAGCCUGAUUCUGGAGUCAAUCACAGCACUAACCAUUUUGAGAAGACAAACAGAGCCCUAGAAAUGUUUUAUUUUACUUUGGUUUAACCUUCCUAAUGCAAGGCCCACGAGAGAAUUAGUACGUAAGUUUGGAAAUCAAUCAAAUUCUGAAGAGCAAAAACGGAACUAACCCUUCUGAUGUAGUUUUCUGACUUUAUCUGAAGCUGAAAUGUGUGUGUAAGAUUGGUCGCUCCAAACAGGACCAAUUCAGAUAAGAUAAAAGUCCAGAACUAUGAUUUCAGGCUCAGCUGAGCUCUGGCUAGGGGUACAAGUAUCUAAUAUGGUAUAGCUAAUAAUGUCUCAAUCAUUCAAUAAGAUACUCUCAAAGGCCUUCCUCCAACUAGACAAACAAAACAAAAUAAAAACACUAGUUACUUUUUGUUACAAAUGGAUUCAUAAACGGUUUUAUACUGAUUCAUUUUAGGCUUUAGAUCUUGACAUGUAAAGCAUAUGAACUCAACGCAUAAUCAACCCAAAGUCCAGUGUUUCUUUUUCUUUCUUCUUUUUUUUUUCGAGACAGGGUCUCACUCUGUUGCCCAGGCUGGAGAGCAGUGGUUGGAUCUCAGCUCAAUGCAACCUCCGCCUCCCAGGCUCAAGUGAUCCUCCCACAUCGGCCUCCUGGGUAGCUGGGACUACAGGCAUGCACCACCAUGCCUGGCUAAUUUUUUGUAUAGAUGGGGUUUCACCACGCAGCCCAGGCUGGUCUCGAACUCCUGAGCUCAAGUGAUCCUCCCACCUCGGCUUUCCAAAGUGCUGGGAUUUACAGGUGUAAGCCACUGUGUCCGGCCUAGUGUUUUUUAUCCACAGGCGCCCAGCUCUACCCAUGAGAUUACUUAUCCUGUCUCCCCAGGAGGCAGGUGGUGUAGGGAGCUGCUGGGAGGAUUAGGGAGAAUGUUGUGCCAAGGCCAGUUCCUGGCAUGCAGGACACACUUGCUCAGUAAAUAAGAGCUUGGCAUACGCUUCCCUACUCUCCUUGUCUCUCCAUAAGUGCACUUUUGAGGUUCUAGUUUCCCCCAAAACUUUGAAUAUUAAGCAACUCAUUUCUUUUUUUCUUUUUCUUUUCUUUUCCCUUCCUUCCUUCCUUCCUUCCCUCCCUCCCUUCUUUCUUUUCUUUCUCUCUCUCUCUCUCUUUCUUUCUUUCUUUUCUUUCUUUCUUUCCUUCCUUCCUUCCUUCCUUCUUUUUUUUCUUUCUGACAUGGGGUCUUGCUGUGUCACCCAGGCUACAGUACAGUCAUGCAAUCUCAGAUCACUGCAACCUCUGUCUCCCAGGUUCAAGCGAUUCUCCAACCUCAGCCUCUGGAGUAGCUGGGACUACAGGCAUGCACCACCAUGCUCGGCUAACUUUUGUAUUUUUCGUAGAGACAGGGUUUCACCAUGUUGGCCAGGCUGGUCUCAAACUCCUGACCUCAGGUGAUCUGCCUGCCUCGGCCUCCCAAAAUGCUGGGAUUACAGGUGUGAGCCACCACACCAGGCCUAAGCAACUCAUUUCAACACAUAGUUAUGGAAUAUUCUGGCAGUGUAUUAGGCUGAGGUUCUCUGUGUGUUCUGCGGAAAAGUACCUAGAAGGCAUGGUACUCUAUGCAGAACGUUCCAAGGCAUAACAAAUUCUGUCUUCAUAAGGUAGAGAUCAUUUAACCAUUAGGAAGUGUAACUAUAUUGUAUGUAUACCACAUAAAAUCACAACCAUAAGUACUCAAGUCUAUAACGAGUCCAUACUGUCAAAUUCACAAAAAUCAGCUGUUUCCAGUUUUCUCUCUCUCUCUCUCUGUCCUGUCUUUUUUUAUUUUUUUUUGAGAUGGACUCUUCCUCUGUCACCCAGGCUGGAGUGCAGUGGCAUGAUCUCGGCUCACUGCAACCUCUGCCUCCCCGGUUCAAGCAAUUCUCCUGCCUCAGCCUUUCAAGUAGCUGAGAUUACAGGUGAGUGCCACCAUGCCUGGCUAAUUUUUGUAUUUUUAGUAGAGACGGGGUUUCACCAUGUUGGCCAGGCUGGUCUUGAACUCCUGACCUCAGGUGAUUCACCAGCCUCAGCCUCCCAAAGUGCUGGGAUUACAGGCGUGAGCCACCGUGCCCAACCUCCAGUUUUUUCUUAAUAUUCAUCUACUAUACCAUGUGUGUGAUUUCUUUUGUCAUUUUUCAUGUUUAUAAUAUAGUUAGGCUUUGUGUCCCUGCCCAAAUGUCAUCUUGAAUUAUAAUCCCUGUAUUCCCCACAAUCCCCAUGUGUCAAGGGAGAGACCAGGUAGAGGUAAUUGAUUCAUGGGGGCAGUUUCCCCCCAACGUUGUUCUCAUGAUAGUGAGUUCUCAUGAGAUCUCAUGGUUUCAUAAGGGGCUCUUCCCUCUUCUCUCGGCACUUCUCCUUCCUGCCGCCUUGUGAAGAAGGUGCCUUUCUUCCCCUUCAUCUUCUGCCAUGAUUGUAAGUUUCCUGAGGCCUCCCCAGCCAUGCUGAACUGUGAGUCAAUUAAACCUCUUUUCUUAAAUUACCCAGUCUCAGGCAGUUCUUUACAGCAGUAUGAGAAAGGACUAAUACAGUUUGUUGAUUUUAUUUGCUUGCAACUGCUAGCAGGUAAGCAGUAGCUGGCACCAAACAUUCUAGAAAAAGAAAAUUGAGUCAAAAUUUAAAAAUCAGGGCUGGGCACACUAGUUCAUGCCUGUAAUGGCAGCACUUUGGGAGGCCAAAGUGGGAGGAUGUCUGGAGGCCAGGAAUUUGAGACCAGCCCGAGCAACAUAGUGAGACCCCGUCUAUAAAAAAAAUGAAAAAAAUUAGCGGGCAUGGUGAUGUGAGCCUGUAGUCCCAGCUACUCGGGAGGCUGAGGCAGGAGAAUUGCUUGAACCUUGGCGUUUGAGGCUGAGGUGAGCUAUGAUGGCACCACUGCACUCCAUCCUGGGUGAUAAAGCAAGAUCCUGUCUCUAAGAAA